rnacentral:rRNA from 1 species
GAUGAACGCUGGCGGCGUGCCUAACACAUGCAAGUCGAACGAAGCGACUGGAGGAAGUUUUCGGAUGGAAUCCGGUUGACUGAGUGGCGGACGGGUGAGUAACGCGUGGAUAACCUGCCUCACACUGGGGGAUAACAGUUAGAAAUGGCUGCUAAUACCGCAUAAGCGCACAGUACCGCAUGGUACAGUGUGAAAAACUCCGGUGGUACAGGAUGGUCCCGCGUCUGAUUAGCCAGUUGGCAGGGUAACGGCCUACCAAAGCGACGAUCAGUAGCCGGCCUGAGAGGGUGAACGGCCACAUUGGGACUGAGACACGGCCCAAACUCCUACGGGAGGCAGCAGUGGGGAAUAUUGCACAAUGGGGGAAACCCUGAUGCAGCGACGCCGCGUGAGUGAAGAAGUAUUUCGGUAUGUAAAGCUCUAUCAGCAGGGAAG